rnacentral:lncRNA from 1 species
UUGAAGAUAUGUAUGAAAUCAUCAGGUCCCAAACUCGCAUCGUCAUGAAUCCCAAGAUGAACCACAGUCUCAUUUGUUGUCACCAUCUUUAAAACUGCUGUAAGUCCAUCUCUUCCAAUCUUUGUAUUGGAACCUCCAAACACAAUUGACCGCAAUGUGAUGUUAGCUUGUAAUUGCAGAGCAGAGAAUCUACUCAAUGGACAAAGCAAAUCCUCAACACCAACGCUCCCAAACCGAUUUCCAUCAACAUACAAACUCUGCAAGCUCUUGUUCUUGAAUAGUCCAGCUGCAAUAUAAACAACAG